UUGGAGGGCAAGUCUGGUGCCAGCAGCCGCGGUAAUUCCAGCUCCAAUAGCGUAUAUUAAAGUUGUUGCAGUUAAAAAGCUCGUAGUUGAACUUCGGGAUCAAGGGAUCGGUCAUGCCUUGGUAUGUACUGGUCUUAUUGGUUCUCACCUUCUAAAGAACCAUAAUGUCAUUCAUUUGAUGUUAUGGGGAAUUAGGACUGUUACCUUGAAAAAAUUAGAGUGUUUAAAGCAGGCUCACGCUUGAAUACAUUAGCAUGGAAUAAUGAAAUAGGACAUCCGAUUCUAUUUUGUUGGUUUCUAGGAUCGAUGUAAUGAUUAAUAGGGAUAGUUGGGGGCAUUAGUAUUCAAUUGUCAGAGGUGAAAUUCUUGGAUUUAUUGAAGACUAACUACUGCGAAAGCAUUUGCCAAGGAUGUUUUCAUUAAUCAAGAACGAAAGUUAGGGGAUCGAAGACGAUCAGAUACCGUCGUAGUCUUAACCAUAAACUAUGCCGACUAGGGAUCGGAUGAUGUUAAUUUUUUAAUGACUCAUUCGGCGCCUUACGGGAAAC
rnacentral:rRNA from 1 species